UUUCCAUAUACAUAUAUAUAUAUAUAUAGAGUUGAGCUGGAAUGCUAUCGGUAGCAAACGGGCUCCGUUGCCACCCAUUUGUUUUCGAUGAUGGAGCUUUCAAAUCAACGAUCGGCACUGUUGAACAUGAUCUAUAUCACUUAAAGUAUUUAGAAAUUAAAUUUCAAAUCUUUUCGACAUCAUUUACCUAAUGAUCAAAGGGUUUCAAAAUUAGUAAUUUUAAUGGUUGAUAUGAGGGGUUUUUUCGUUUAACGGUGUAAAGCUAUCCAAAUCAAUUGAAUUUUGGUUAGAAAAUUCUUUAAACUAUUUAGAACAAGAUCUAUAUUCUCGAUCAUGAUUACAAAAUUUCUAUCAUCACUUUUUAGAGGAUAUUCAUUUUCAGCCAUUU
rnacentral:lncRNA from 1 species